rnacentral:rRNA from 1 species
GACGAACGCUGGCGGCGUGCUUAACACAUGCAAGUCGAACGGAAAGGCCCUGCUUUUGUGGGGUGCUCGAGUGGCGAACGGGUGAGUAACACGUGAGUAACCUGCCCUUGACUUUGGGAUAACUUCAGGAAACUGGGGCUAAUACCGGAUAGGAGCUCCUGCUGCAUGGUGGGGGUUGGAAAGUUUCGGCGGUUGGGGAUGGACUCGCGGCUUAUCAGCUUGUUGGUGGGGUAGGGGCUGACCAAGGCUUUGACGGGUAGCCGGCCUGAGAGGGGGACCGGCCUCAAUGGGACUGAGAUACGGCCCAGAAUCCUACGGGAGGCAGCAGUGGGGAAUAUUGCAGAAUGGGCGGAAGCCUGAUGCAGCAACGCCGCGUGCGGGAUGACGGCCUUCGGGUUGUAAACCGCUUUCGCCUGUGACGAAGCGUGAGUGACGGUAAUGGGUAAAGAAGCACCGGCUAACUACGUG